ensembl:lncRNA
UGUCACUGUUAUCUGAAACACUCAUGGGAGGGCAUGAGCUCUUAAAACUAAUGUUGCACUUCUAAGAACUUUGCCUCAUCAAUACAAAAAUCACAUAAAAUCAUUCAUUGCAGUGAUAUUUGUAAUCACAGAACCUGGGAACAAACUAAAUGGUUAUUAAUAAGCAACUGGUUGAACAGACUGUGGCACAGCCAUACAAUAGACUAUCAUUCAGCUAAAAAAAAUAAGAUCUUUAUGCAACAAUAAGGAAGAUUCCAAGGAUAUAUUGGAUACUCGUGUCUGAGGCCCCCUGACAAUUCUGUCUGUCUCAUUUGGGAUCUCUCAUGUAUACUUAGUCAGACAGCUGCUGGAGCUGGAGCCAACUAAAAAAUUAAUUAGAAUGCUGUACUACUACAAACUGCCUCUGAUGUCACAUGAUCUGUGUGUCUGUCUUCAUAUAGCCUUCUUAUAAAGAUGUCAGCCACUGGAUUUUGAGUCCAUCUACUUCAUUCUAACCAUCUUUCACACAGACUCUCCAUCAGAGAGAGAAAAUUCAUAGCCAGUUCAAAGUUCUCAGAAGCACAAAAAUGGAAGCUACCUGGCCUUAUAAAGUUAGUGGAAUGUGUCUAGCAAUAUUUUACAUGCUGAGAUCACAGUGGAGAACAACACAGGCACAAGACCCCAUGUCAAACAACUUUCAUUGUAGUAGAGACAAUACCACUGAAUUCUUGCUUAGAACUCUUGGUUGUUGUAGUAGUGUGGAAAAAAUAAUGAACUACAUCUGACACCUGGGCUCUCUCUCUGCAGUGAGUUCCAGACAGAGUAAAAGAUAACAUAACUCAAUCAUAUCCUGAACCAGACAGUCUGAAAUCCAUCGAUAUCUAGAUGUCUCCUCCAUUCAUACAAUUACUUAUCCUUGUUCAAAGAGCUCUCUAAUUUUUAUCUUCUUUAUAAAGUUUUUUAAAAUGGCUAAUGCUUUGGGGAUGAGUAAAGAGGUGAUGAGAACUUUACAAAAGGGAAGAAAAAGUGAGUUUCCUGGACAGUUCAAAAUUGCCUCUCCCCUUCCGUCCAAAUUUUUGGACUCUAGAAUUGUGACACUUCCCUAAAUUAUUAAUACACAUCUGCUCAAAUUAUGAUUUAUAUCUCAAUUGACCCAUUUGGCAGGAAUGACAGACUGCAAAUUGUGAAAUGGAAUGAUAUCAUAUGAUUUUUUAACAUUGCUAUCUCUAGCAUACACCUGUUACAGAGAACGCCAGAUGUUAAUCAGCAGAUGUUCCUGGGGCUCACAAAGAAAAACAG